ensembl:lncRNA
CCCAGCGCAGCUGACUGAGGGGCGGCGGCGUCCCGUGCGCCGUCCCGGCACCUGCGUAGCGCUUCCAACGUGGAGUUUCGAGCUUGCCGUCCCGCAGUGUCACACAGUCACCCACGUGGGGCUCGUCCCGAGAAGGAACGUCUCCUGAGGUUGCACGCAGCACCCCGCACAGCCUUCCGCUGGCUGCCUAGGCGGGAGGUGGCACGUCCUCACAGGCACUGCCUUCCCUGCCCCUCACAGAACAUCACCGUAGCAGAGGGCACACAGAGGAUAUGAGCCCAGCCUGGUGCUGACUGCACCGUGCCCCGCUCCUCAGCCAUCAUCGCCAUCUUGGCCACCUCAGCACGUCACAGGGAUCAAAGCAAACCUCUCUGAACGGUUCUGCUCUCACCACUAGUUACACAGUUUCCAUUCAGGAGGAAGCUACAAGGCACAGGCUAGUUCUUGCUGGCAGCACAGCCAGCACCGUUCUGAGCCGGGAUCUCUCUUUGGAGGCCACUGCAGCAGGAGCCGGGGCAGGCUGGGGAUGUGUGGUAGCAGCCGUUGGCACAGGGUUACCUCAGCGUCCUGUCAGGGCACUGAGCGCCACAGAGCAGAUGGGAUCCCAGUCUUCCCGCCAUUUCUAUGACUGUAAAACUUUCCCAAAGUGCAAAAUUUCAUGCUUUUUGGAGAAGAAUCAAAGCUACCAGGCUUUCUUGAUGAAAAUAUUAAUUGCUAGUGCCAGGCAAGGACCUGGGCUCCAGAAGCUCCCCCAGCCGUGGCCUCAGCACCUGGUGAAAUGGCGAUGCUCAUCCUCUUUGCUCUCCUCCGCCUCCAGACGUCCCAGCCAGCAGCCACUUAAAGGCAACCACUUCAGGGGUGCGGCGAGGCAGUAACUUAACAAGUAAGUUGUAGUAAGUCAGGAAGUGAGGACAGCCAGAUUCAGUAAGGAGCCCAUACGGGUACAAAAAAAUACUUGCAGAAGCUUUCACAAUAUCUUUAAUCAGGCAGAGCAAAGCCCCAUGGAAUAGAAGGCAGAUUUGUUAGUGAGAAACUGGCAUUGGAACUUGUAACUAUGGCAAGUUUCCAACAGGUAAGAGAUACUAACUCUUGGAGGAAACAGUUUGUGAAGGAUCAGUAUCUGUGUGCAGGAAAGGGUAAUACUUUUUUUUUUUUAUUAUUAUUAAAUAGAAUCAGAACAUG